rnacentral:lncRNA from 1 species
GUUUACACUUUUUACUAUGGGUUUCUAUAUAAAUGACCCCAAACAAUCGAGCAAUUCGGAACUUCUUCCCCUUCGUAGCCGCGACCUUCUUCCUGCGACUUCUUCUCACUUCGUCACUCAAAUAGGUCUUCAAGUCGGGGUAAUUCUCUGUUCUUUCUAUCUCUGUUUUGCGUUUCAAUCGGCCACGCGUACGUGUUUAAUUUCUGAUCGUUUAGGUAUCUCUUUCCCACGAUUUGCGAUUGUGAAUUGGACGGUGAUCGCCGUUAAAGUCUUUUGUAGGUGCCGAGUGGGAAAUUAGGUCGCGAUUUGAUUUCCCGACGACGAAACUUUUACACAAUGACUUUUGAUUAUUACGCGGUUCGAGAAGUUACGAGUGUUGUUGGUCUUUUUGAUUCUCUUAUAUGUUUUAGGGUUUCUAAACAUUAAUUUUAUUCAAAAGGAAAAUGACGUUUUCUUACCGUUGUUGCCUCUUUACUUAAUUCCCUUUUCCAAGUCUAUUAUGAGAGAAGUCGUUUGGGUUUCAUUUUGUGUGUUUCAAUUUUCUUUGGAAGAAUCAUUCGUUAAAUCAAGAAAAAAUAACUUGGUCCUACCAUGAAAGCCUUUAGUACAUUGAAAUUCUCAAGGCGGGUGGUUGUCGCUUCAUGAAUGUAAAAUUUUGACAGUUCUAAAGUAGGUAAAAAACUUUGAAAUGUCAUGAAGUUUGGGCAUAUAUUGAAAAUUGUUACAAUGGUUUUGAAUAAAAUUUUGUCUCGAGGUAUUGAGGUUUUCGCUAAAAAUGUUAUGUUGUUAAUUUGUUUAGUUUACGUGCUGACGUGGACCAAAUGACGUUAAAUGAGCCAGCAGAAGUCAAUUCGAUUCGACUUCCCCCACUAAACCCACAUUGGUGAAAACAGAAUCACAAUAAAACUUGAAAGCUCCCUUUUUAGCUUUUCAGACGAUGAACUUACAACAGAUUAGAGACACAACCGAAUUCAUCUUGGAGUAGCGAGUUGACCACCCAGCCGUCGUCGCUUUUAUGCUUGGUUCACCAAAAAUUGAAUUGUGAAGGAGCUUCGGCCAGGUGCUGGGCAGGAUUUGAGAACCGGAGGAAGACGGUGGUAAGAAGAAGGAACCAAAGGGUGAGGUGUUGAAAUCCGUGAAAAAGAUGUGAAAAUUCAAGGAAGUGAAGGAUAUUUGAGAGAUGAGGCUUUAAAGAGGAAGGUUCAACGUUGAAAAGUGAAAAGAGGAGGAGGAGAAUGAGCUGAACCCAACUAGAUCUGAAUUUAUAUCGAAGAAGAAGAACGAUUGGAUGUCUAUGGAGGAAGAAAAUGGAGGAAGAAGAUGACUUUUUUUUGUUGAAUAAGAAAAGUAUUAUUUAGUAAUUAAAAAAUUAUUGAAAAAUAAUGGACUUUUUCUUACUAAUUUAAUGGUGUUGGGUCCAUGUUAAUACGUAAACUAAACAAACUAACAACAUGAUAUUUUUUGAAAUUAUGGUGACAUUUUUCGACAUAGAAGGAUGUUGGUCUCCUAACUGCGUAAUGUGUGGUUUUGUGCGUACUAUGUUGGUCUCCCAACUGCUUACUCUUGCUUAUCGUUGUUCUUAUUACUAUCUGCAUCUUGUUGUUCUUUGCAGGCCCGCUCAAUGGGCCCACCAGGACAGAGCCUCAAUCUUAAGGGGGCCUCCAAUUUGAUAAGGGCCCAAAUGAUAUAGGCCCGUUACAAUCUUUUGUUUUGUAAUAUACACUGUAAUAUAAAAACAUUUCCCG